AACGAACGCUGGCGGCAUGCCUAACACAUGCAAGUCGAACGAGACCUUCGGGUCUAGUGUCGCACGGGUGCGUAACGCGUGGGAAUCUGCCCUUGGGUUCGGGAUAACAGUUGGAAACGACUGCUAAUACCGGAUGACGUCUUCGGACCAAAGAUUUAUCGCCCAGGGAUGAGCCCGCGUCGGAUUAGCUAGUUGGUAGGGUAAAAGCCUACCAAGGCGACGAUCCGUAGCUGGUCUGAGAGGAUGAUCAGCCACACUGGGACUGAGACACGGCCCAGACUCCUACGGGAGGCGGCGGUGGGGAAGAUUGGACAAUGGGCGAAAGCCUGAUCCAGCAAUGCCGCGUGAGUGAUGAAGGCCUUAGGGUUGUAAAGCUCUUUUAGCCGGGAUGAUAAUGACAGUACCGGGAGAAUAAGCCCCGGCUAACUCCGUGCCAGCCGCCGCGGUAA
rnacentral:rRNA from 1 species